rnacentral:rRNA from 1 species
GAUGAACGCUGGCGGCGUGCCUAAUACAUGCAAGUCCAGCGAACAGACGAGGAGCUUGCUCCUCUGACGUUAGCGGCGGACGGGUGAGUAACACGUGGAUAACCUACCUAUAAGACUGGGAUAACUUCGGGAAACCGGAGCUAAUACCGGAUAAUAUAUUGAACCGCAUGGUUCAAUAGUGAAAGACGGUUUUGCUGUCACUUAUAGAUGGAUCCGCGCCGCAUUAGCUAGUUGGUAAGGUAACGGCUUACCAAGGCGACGAUGCAUAGCCGACCUGAGAGGGUGAUCGGCCACACUGGAACUAAGACACGGUCCAGACUCCUACGAGAGGCAGCAGUAGGGAAUCUUCCGGAAUGGGCGAAAGCCUGACGGAGCAACGCCGCGUGAGUGAUGAAGGUCUUCGGAUCGUAAAACUCUGUUAUUAGGGAAGAACAAAUGUGUAAGUAACUAUGCACGUCUUGACGGUACCUAAUCAGAAAGCCACGGCUAACUACGUG